GCUUGCUGGGUGGAUUAGUGGCGAACGGGUGAGUAAUACGUGAGUAACCUGCCCUUGACUCUGGGAUAAGCCUGGGAAACUGGGUCUAAUACUGGAUACUACUUCCUGCCGCAUGGUGGGUGGUGGAAAGGGUUUUACUGGUUUUGGAUGGGCUCACGGCCUAUCAGCUUGUUGGUGGGGUAAUGGCUCACCAAGGCGACGACGGGUAGCCGGCCUGAGAGGGUGACCGGCCACACUGGGACUGAGACACGGCCCAGACUCCUACGGGAGGCAGCAGUGGGGAAUAUUGCACAAUGGGCGGAAGCCUGAUGCAGCGACGCCGCGUGAGGGAUGACGGCCUUCGGGUUGUAAACCUCUUUCAGUAGGGAAGAAGCGAGAGUGACGGUACCUGCAGAAGAAGCGCCGGCUAACUACGUGCCAGCAGCCGCGGUAAUACGUAGGGCGCAAGCGUUGUCCGGAAUUAUUGGGCGUAAAGAGCUCGUAGGCGGUUUGUCGCGUCUGCUGUGAAAGCCCGGGGCUCAACCCCGGGUCUGCAGUGGGUACGGGCAGACUAGAGUGCAGUAGGGGAGACUGGAAUUCCUGGUGUAGCGGUGAAAUGCGCAGAUAUCAGGAGGAACACCGAUGGCGAAGGCAGGUCUCUGGGCUGUUACUGACGCUGAGGAGCGAAAGCAUGGGGAGCGAACAGGAUUAGAUACCCUGGUAGUCCAUGCCGUAAACGUUGGGCACUAGGUGUGGGGGACAUUCCACGUUUUCCGCGCCGUAGCUAACGCAUUAAGUGCCCCGCCUGGGGAGUACGGCCGCAAGGCUAAAACUCAAAGGAAUUGACGGGGGCCCGCACAAGCGGCGGAGCAUGCGGAUUAAUUCGAUGCAACGCGAAGAACCUUACCAAGGCUUGACAUUCACCGGACCGCCCCAGAGAUGGGGUUUCCCUUCGGGGCUGGUGGACAGGUGGUGCAUGGUUGUCGUCAGCUCGUGUCGUGAGAUGUUGGGUUAAGUCCCGCAACGAGCGCAACCCUCGUUCUAUGUUGCCAGCACGUGAUGGUGGGGACUCAUAGGAGACUGCCGGGGUCAACUCGGAGGAAGGUGGGGAUGACGUCAAAUCAUCAUGCCCCUUAUGUCUUGGGCUUCACGCAUGCUACAAUGGCCGGUACAAAGGGUUGCGAUACUGUGAGGUGGAGCUAAUCCCAAAAAGCCGGUCUCAGUUCGGAUUGAGGUCUGCAACUCGACCUCAUGAAGUCGGAGUCGCUAGUAAUCGCAGAUCAGCAACGCUGCGGUGAAUACGUUCCCGGGCCUUGUACACACCGCCCGUCAAGUCACGAAAGUUGGUAACACCCGAAGCCGGUGGCCUA
rnacentral:rRNA from 1 species